UACGGGGGGGGCAAGCGUUGUUCGGAAUUACUGGGCGUAAAGGGCGCGUAGGCGGCCUGCUAAGUCGGACGUGAAAUCCCUCGGCUUAACCGGGGAACUGCGUCCGAUACUGGAUGGCUUGAGUUUGGGAGAGGGAUGCGGAAUUCCAGGUGUAGCGGUGAAAUGCGUAGAUAUCAGGAGGAACACCGUUGGCGAAGGCGACUUUCUGGGCUGUUACUGACGCUGAAGCGCGAAAGCCAGGGGAGCGAACAGG
rnacentral:rRNA from 1 species